UACGUAGGGGGCAAGCGUUGUCCGGAAUUAUUGGGCGUAAAGGGCGCGUAGGCGGACCCCCAAGUCCGGGGUGAAAUCCUCCGGCUUAACCGGAGAAUUGCCUGGGAUACUGGGGGUCUUGAGGGAGGUAGGGGCACGCGGAACUUCCGGUGGAGCGGUGAAAUGCGUUGAUAUCGGAAGGAACGCCGGUGGCGAAAGCGGCGUGCUGGCCCUCUUCUGACGCUGAGGCGCGAAAGCCAGGGGAGCGAACGGG
rnacentral:rRNA from 1 species